rnacentral:tRNA from 1 species
CUCGGUGUGGCGCAGUUGGCAGCGCGGAUGCUUCGGGAGCAUCAGGUCGCAGGUUCGAGACCUGCCGCCGAGACCA